UUAUAUAAUGUGAUGUCUGCCAGUCUUUCUAUAUGAAAUUAUCAUUUAGUGUGAAUUUAUAGGUAAGCGUAAUAAAGUGUUUUAAGUGUUUCCCAGCCAGAUACAUUCAGUUGCUGGCCACUGCAAGGCCACUGGCCAGCCAGGUGCCAACCACUGCAAGGCCACUGGCCAGCCAGGUGCCAGCCAUUGCAUGGCCACUGGCCAGCCAGGUGCCAACCCAAGUCUCCGCUGCUGGCCGUGGGCGUCAACACCUUUGACCUGCUGAUCCAGCUGGCGACAGGGGGCGUCCACCCCUCACUACAGCCUGCAGUCACCCGCCUCACUUGUGCCUUCCUGAAGGAGACAGGACAGCCACCAAGCCUGUGGUUGGCUCACAGGAAGCCCCCAGAGCAUAAAAGUGAUGAUGCAGGGGCAUCAUUGCAGCCCUAGAGAGGGAGAGGAACAUGGCUGAAGACUUGGUUAAAAGAUUAGUCAAAUAUAGGGUUGAGACAGAUCUUUAAAGUGUUCACAGCAAUUCGGCUUUCAUUUGUAAACAAAGAGCAGACAGCUAGGAAGAUGACACCAGCAGCGGCAGGCGGAGACAGGCGGUGUGACACCGUAGCCCUCUGCUCUGCCUGACUUGUGCUGCGUGUCACGCAACCAAACUCAAGUGGAACAUGCACUGUUACAUGUACCAGAUUAUCGGACACCCCUGACAAGUUUGGCGCCAUUCGUAAAGCAACAAAACUGCUUGUCUUGAAAGAAGGUCCAGUGACAGAGACAACCUUGGCCAGAGUUGUGUUCGCUUCCUGACAGGACGGGGAUUGUGACCAGGAAUUUGUCCAGCUUCCUCUGUAAGUGUUUGGUAUUCACGCCCUUCAUGUCACGGUGUGUGCUGGGAGGGAGGUGAACGGGUGGGUGUCCCUUGUUGCAACACUGCUGUGCUGGAGGCUUCUGAUACUGGUGUGGCAGUUUGAAGGGAGGUGGGAUGGCCACGCUUAUUCCUUCCUGAUCGUGCUUUGGAGUGAGUGCAUGUGAUGGGUUCAGAUUUGGGCGGGACAGUUUGGUUAGCAAUAAUUAUUUUGGUAUUAUUAUAGUUUAAGCCAUUACACACUACGUGGUAAUAACCUACCUCAUUUUGUUCUUCUCACUAUUCACAUCAUUUCUAAUGAUUACACUACUUGUCGGAAAUUAAUAAUAACGCCACAAUAGGCCUGGGAAUGCACAGCGCUCUCAACUUUUUCUAAGUCCACAGGUAAACAUAAAUGGUGUAUUGUUGCCUGAACUUCAGUUGUUUAAUGCUUUGAAUUGUGGGUAGCUGCUGGAUAGGAUCACUGUGUCUAUAAUUCCUCGGGCCAAUCACGUGCUACCACCACUUAACACCACGAGUUGCACCAAUAGGAAGUCUCUAUAAGUACCCAUAAGCUGCGCGGGCAGGUGUGUGCACACCGCUUCCGGUCACUUCCGCCAUGGCUACUGUUGACGUUACUUGUGCUGGUUGCAAAUUUGAUUAUUGGCUCUUCAUCGCUACGUUUCACCGCAAAGACGACUUGUGCUGCCAGUUCUUGAGGAAACACGGCGUUUUACCCACUGCAGUCGAGUGUCCCGAGUGCCACACGCCGUGUAAGCUGCGCAGUGACAGGCGUGUGUGGUAUUGCGGCCGGUACCGCAAGCUGCCGAAAAAGAAGCGCAGUAAGCAGUGCAACUUCAGCGUUUCUGACUUUAAAGGAACUUUCCUGGAAGGAACGCAUCUUCCUGCGUGGCAGUUGCCUUGGAAAGUGCAUUCCUGGCUGAGUGUGGUGCGUGUGCCUGCUACUCGUGUGGUGGUGGUGCUGCUGCUGCGUGAAGCCUCUGCCGUGGGAACCCAUCACAAAUAGCUAAUGGAUUCUGUAUGAUGGGAUCAGCAGCAGACAGAAUUCCAGUGAUGUAUCAACAUGCCUAGGGGCAGCCUUGGGGAUAUCCAUUACUGGCAGAAGCCCCAGUGUGCUGAGUGAUGGGGUGGCAUGACCUUGCACAUCAGAGGGUCAGGUUUCAGUGAGGACCAGUUCAGCUACUUCAAUCCCUCAUAAGACAAUUAGGUGUUCUUGGUGAAUAAGGAAGAGGAGAUUGAAUGCAGAGUGAUUACCUACCUGACCACCAAGGAUAGGAUUGCCUGCGCCAGUGGGUGAGUUGCUGGCUGGUAGGUCAUAACAGUUUGUGGGUGAGUGCCAAAAGAUUAUUAUGCCAGCAUGGUGAAUAAUAACUGAUAACUUAUAAGAAUAAUGAGUAGAGGCUCAACAUGGCUUAGGUAUGUUGAUGAUGUGCUAGUUAUAGUCCCAAA